rnacentral:rRNA from 1 species
UACGGAGGAUUCAAGCGUUAUCCGGAUUUAUUGGGUUUAAAGGGUGCGUAGGCGGAAUAUCAAGUCAGCGGUAAAAUUUCGGGGCUCAACCCCGUCGUGCCGUUGAAACUGGCGUUCUUGAGUGAGCGAGAAGUAUGCGGAAUGCGUGGUGUAGCGGUGAAAUGCAUAGAUAUCACGCAGAACCCCGAUUGCGAAGGCAGCAUACCGGUGCACAACUGACGCUCAGGCACGAAAGCGUGGGUAUCGAACAGG